CGAUUCCGUAAGUAGCGGCGAGCGAACGCGGAUUAGCCCAAACCAAUAAAGUUUUCUUUAUUGGGGUUGAGGACAUACCACAUAUAAGAGGUCAUUAUAGACGAAGAAGUUUGGAAAAACUCAUCAUAGAAGGUAAUAAUCCUGUAGUCAAAAUAAUAAUUCUUUAGGUAUGAUCCAGAGUACCACGGGACACGUGAAACCCUGUGGGAAGCAGGAGGGACCACCCUCCAAGGCUAAAUACUACCUAGUGACCGAUAGCGUAUAGUAC
rnacentral:rRNA from 1 species